GUGUCAGCCGCCGCGGUAAUACGUAGGGGGCUAGCGUUGUCCGGAAUCAUUGGGCGUAAAGCGCGCGUAGGCGGUCAGGUAAGUCCGGUGUGAAAGUCAUAGGCUCAACCUAUGAAUGCCGCUGGAAACUGCCUGACUUGAGUCCGGAAGGGGCGAGUGGAAUUCCUGGUGUAGCGGUGAAAUGCGCAGAUAUCAGGAGGAACACCAAUGGCGAAGGCAGCUCGCUGGAACGGUACUGACGCUGAGGCGCGAAAGCGUGGGGAGCGAACAGGAUUAGAUACCCUGGUAGUCCACGCUGUAAACGAUGGGCACUAGGUGUCGGAGGUGUCGACUCCUCCGGUGCCGUAGCUAACGCAUUAAGUGCCCCGCCUGGGGAGUACGGCCGCAAGGCUAAA
rnacentral:rRNA from 1 species